AGCAGAGUGGCGCAGCGGAAGCAUGCUGUGUCCAUAACCAAGAGGUCGAAGGAUCAAAACCAUCCUCUGCUA
rnacentral:tRNA from 1 species